rnacentral:lncRNA from 1 species
GUAAACCAAGAUGGCGUCACGCGAAGAAGCAGUUACCGUUAAUUUACAGAGGAAGCAUUUUUGAGCAUUCCAGGACCCAAAAAAUAAUCUACCACAUCACACCAAAUAACACGUAAACCUAAACUCCCACUAGCACAGUGAAAACAGGAACCAUAUGAUGACUACACAGCCUACAUAAAGCAGAAACUACGUACUCUGCGGUUCACUUCCCAGAACCCGGAGGACAGCGAGUCUGCCUGCCUCCAUGUCGAGGGUCGGGAUUCACUGGCUGCUCUGGCUGCUGUGGUUGAUGUGGAAGGCUUGAGAGAGGACAUGAUGCUUGACUGCUUAGCCUCCAUAAUGGCUUGCUGCCAAACACUCAACGUACUUUCAAAAAGCAAAUCAUCUUUGGAUUUAUUUCGGUUAUGGAAAACAGGAAGAUUAGCCCUGAGCUAACUACUGCCAAUCCUCAUCUUUUUGCUGAGGAAAACUGGCCCUGAGCUAACAUCCAUGCCCAUCUUCCUCUACUUUAUACGUGGGACGCCUACCACAGCAUGGCUUUUGCCAAGCGGUGCCAUAUCCGCACGUGGGAUCUGAACCUGCAAACCCCGGGCUGCCGAGAAGCGGAACACGCAAAGUUAACUGCUGCGCCACCCAGCCGGCCCCAGAAAACUAAAUAUUUCUGAGUGCCAACGAGGUAUUAACAUUGGAGAAAGAACAAGACUAUCCACGUUAUUUUCUUCUGUUUCUGGAUACUCGAAGCAUCGUGGGAUGGUGGCCGGGAGCGGAUUGGAAGGGCACUGAAGUGAGGUGACAGGAAGCUAUUUUAUGAUAUUAAGAAUGGAAGCGGCAUAGUCAGAUUACAUUUCAGAUAGAUUACCCCAAGCAGAAGUGGGGAUAAAUGCUUGAGACAAGGAGAUCACUCAAGAAGACAUUACAAUAUUUUAGGCUAGAAUGAUGAAGGCUUGGUUAAUGGCCAGGGAUAUAGAAAGGAGGCAAUGGAUUCAAGAAAGGAGGCAAGGAUUCAAGAAACAUUUAAGACAAGGAAGUAACAAUCUGAAAUUCUAAUUAAUUUGCGUUGGAGAUUUUAAAAAAGGCUAAGUCGAGGAUGAAAUCCAGAUGUUGUGCUUAGGUGAUUGGGGAUGGCGAUACCAUUUUCUAAGAAAGAAAUCAGGAGGAAAAGCAAGCUUAAGAGAAAAAGGAAGUUCUGCUUUGGAAGUGUUUAGUUUUAAGCACCAGUGGGAUCACAAACGGAAAUGAGCAGUGGCCCUAAACAUAAGGAUGAGGAACCCAGACAAGUGGUCUGGCCUGCAGAAGAUGCCAAAUGAAUGUUGA